rnacentral:rRNA from 1 species
UACGUAGGGUGCGAGCGUUGUCCGGAAUUAUUGGGCGUAAAGAGCUCGUAGGCGGUUUGUCGCGUCGACUGUGAAAACCUGGGGCUUAACUCUGGGCCUGCAGUCGAUACGGGCAGACUUGAGUUCGGUAGGGGAGACUGGAAUUCCUGGUGUAGCGGUGAAAUGCGCAGAUAUCAGGAGGAACACCGGUGGCGAAGGCGGGUCUCUGGACAGUUCCUGACGCUGAGGCACGAAGGCCAGGGGAGCAAACGGG